UAAGUACCCCGAGGAAAAGAAAUCAACCGAGAUUCCCCCAGUAGCGGCGAGCGAACGGGGAGCAGCCCAGAGCCUGAAUCAGUGUGUGUGUUAGUGGAAGCGUCUGGAAAGGCGCGCGAUACAGGGUGACAGCCCCGUACACAAAAAUGCACAUAUUGUGAGCUCGAUGAGUAGGGCGGGACACGUGGUAUCCUGUCUGAAUAUGGGGGGACCAUCCUCCAAGGCUAAAUACUCCUGACUGACCGAUAGUGAACCAGUACCGUGAGGGAAAGGCGAAAAGAACCCCGGCGAGGGGAGUGAAAAAGAACCUGAAACCGUGUACGUACAAGCAGUGGGAGCCUCUUUUAUGGGGUGACUGCGUACCUUUUGUAUAAUGGGUCAGCGACUUAUAUUCUGUAGCAAGGUUAACCGAAUAGGGGAGCCGAAGGGAAACCGAGUCUUAACUGGGCGUUAAGUUGCAGGGUAUAGACCCGAAACCCGGUGAUCUAGCCAUGGGCAGGUUGAAGGUUGGGUAACACUAACUGGAGGACCGAACCGACUAAUGUUGAAAAAUUAGCGGAUGACUUGUGGCUGGGGGUGAAAGGCCAAUCAAACCGGGAGAUAGCUGGUUCUCCCCGAAAGCUAUUUAGGUAGCGCCUCGUGAAUUCAUCUCCGGGGGUAGAGCACUGUUUCGGCAAGGGGGUCAUCCCGACUUACCAACCCGAUGCAAACUGCGAAUACCGGAGAAUGUUAUCACGGGAGACACACGGCGGGUGCUAACGUCCGUCGUGAAGAGGGAAACAACCCAGACCGCCAGCUAAGGUCCCAAAGUCAUGGUUAAGUGGGAAACGAUGUGGGAAGGCCCAGACAGCCAGGAUGUUGGCUUAGAAGCAGCCAUCAUUUAAAGAAAGCGUAAUAGCUCACUGGUCGAGUCGGCCUGCGCGGAAGAUGUAACGGGGCUAAACCAUGCAC
rnacentral:rRNA from 1 species